rnacentral:rRNA from 1 species
UACGAAGGGGGCUAGCGUUGUUCGGACUCACUGGGCGUAAAGGGCGCGUAGGCGGCCGAUCAAGUCGGGGGUGAAAGCCUGUGGCUCAACCACAGAAUUGCCUUCGAUACUGUUUGGCUUGAGACCGGAAGAGGUAAGUGGAACUGCGAGUGUAGAGGUGAAAUUCGUAGAUAUUCGCAAGAACACCAGUGGCGAAGGCGGCUUACUGGUCCGGUACUGACGCUGAGGCGCGAAAGCGUGGGGAGCAAACAGG